UGUGGAGCGUGACUGGCAUCAUUGUGCUGGUCCUUCCUGGAGGCAAGGGGACUGGCCUGUGGUGCCCUGUGUCAGUCUGUCUGGCUGUGGGAUACCUGGGGGUGGGUGAAGCAGCUCCUGUCCUGCCAAGGGCAGUUCUCUGGAGACGAGGCAGCUGUGGAGCAGGAGCAGCCUACACCCCUGAGCUGAGGAAUGGGUAGAUGGGCCAGGUAAAGGUGGUCUGGGUGCACACCAGUAGCACCCACUUCUGUCACUGCUGAGAGAAUGUCUUUACCUCAGAAGGUGUCCUCACUGGUGUUUUGUCCCUUUCCUUUGCUAGGGAGUGGCCAGAUCCAGCUCUGGCAGUUUCUCCUGGAGCUCCUGUCAGACAGCUCCAACUCCAACUGCAUCACAUGGGAAGGCACCAACGGGGAGUUCAAGAUGACAGACCCCGACGAGGUUGCCCGGCGCUGGGGAGAACGAAAAAGCAAACCCAAUAUGAACUAUGAUAAGCUCAGCCGUGCCCUGCGUUACUACUAUGACAAAAACAUCAUGACCAAAGUCCACGGCAAGCGCUAUGCCUACAAGUUUGACUUCCAUGGAAUCGCCCAGGCCCUCCAGCCCCACCCUCCAGAGUCAUCUCUGUACAAGUACCCCUCAGACCUCCAGUACAUGGGCUCCUACCAUGCCCACCCACAGAAGAUGAACUUUGUGGCCCCCCACCCGCCAGCCCUCCCCGUGACAUCUUCUAGUUUUUUUGCUGCCCCAAACCCAUACUGGAAUUCACCAACUGGGGGUAUAUACCCUAACACUAGGCUUCCAGCCAGCCAUAUGCCUUCCCACCUGGGCACUUACUACUAAAGACCUGACAGAGGCCUUUUCCACAGCAUACAAUCUCCAAUAACUUGCCACAAACUCUAUCAGAGAACAUGAAUCAAAAGUGCCUCAAGAGGAAUGAAAAAGCUUGACUGGGGCCGGGGAAGGAAGCCAGGGAAGAGAUCCAGAGACUCUUAGCAGGAGGCAGUUACUACAGUAUUACUACAGAAAAGGAGAGGAGCUAAAAAUGCAGUGUAUAUGGACAUAUAAUCUGUGGACCAACCUUGUAACAGACAUUGUAUGUAGAAGUACGAAGUCAUAAGAACAAAGUGCCAAAGAAAGUGGUCUUAAGAAGUGUAUAAACUUUAGAGUAGAGUUUGGGAUCCUGCUAGUGCGAACUGAUAUUAAACUAAAGCAAUAGAGAUAACACAGUUUUGACCUAACAUACCAUUUGCAAUGUCAUUUUAAGGAAAACUACCUGUAUUUAAAAAUAGAAACAUAUCAAAACCAAAAAAAGAAAAGACAAGAGAAACUAUGACCCAUCCACGGAUGUCGAUAUGGAACACAUUGGCUUUCGCUGUUUUGGUUGAAAUCAGAUACAUCUCAGACGGAGAGCUAUCUGCCCUUGCAAACUGUGAUGAUGACCCAAAGUUUCCAACUUCUUUACAGUGUUACAGGAGCUAUGAGCCAAAUGGUGGGACUGAGAAGGUGCAGAGAGUGAGUGUGUGAUUGUAGACAGAGGGCUGGAGGAGGAGGGAUGGGAGAAAGCAGAGGAGGAGGAGACAGGACUGGGGAGGAAACUUCUCAAGCAGUGAAGACUGGAUUUAGGACACUUGGGGACUGUGGAAAACAAGUCACAGAGACUUGAGGUUUAAUAUGGUCAGUGUUAUACCAAACCCAGUGUUACGAGAAAGGACAUAGCGUAAUGGAGGAAGGGGAAGUAGUUAGAAUUCAGAAACAAAAAUAUAUAUCUCUUUGUUUGUUUGUCAAAAGAAAACUUUAACUGGAAUUGUUUGAUAUUCAGGACCUCGUCAUUAUGUGGGGGCUUUGCUCUCCACAGGGUCAGGUAAGAGAUGGCCUUGUUGGCUUCCGUAAUCAGAAAUCACAUAGGCAUUCGGGGUGGGCGGGCUCCAGUUUUCCUUUUUGAGUCGCAAACGCUGUGCGUUUGUCAGAAUGAAGUAUACAAGCCCAUUUUUUUCCUUUUUAUAUAAUAAUUAUAUAACUUAUGCAUUUAUACACUACGAGUUGAUCUCGGCCAGCCAAAGACACAGGACAAAAGAGACAAUCAAUGAUAGAAUGUGGCCUUGAAUUUUAACUCUGUAUGCUUAAUGUUUACAAUAUGAAGUUAUUAGUUUUUAGGAUGCAGAAUGUAUGUAAUAAAAUAAGCUUGGCCCAGCAUGGCAAAUCAGAUUUACGCAGGAGUCUGCAUCUGCACUUUUGUAGUGACUAAAACUGCCUAAUAGAAACAUGCGCUGAA